AAAAAAGGUAAGCUACUAAGAGCGAAUGGUGGAUGCCUUGACUGGUAAAGGCGAUGAAGGACGUACUAGACUGCGAUAAGCUACGGGGAGCUGUCAAGAAGCUUUGAUCCGUAGAUUUCCGAAUGGGGCAACCCAAUGUAUAGAGAUAUACAUUACCUAUAUAGGAGCGAACGAGGGGAAUUGAAACAUCUUAGUACCCUCAGGAAAAGAAAUCAAUAGAGAUUGCGUCAGUAGCGGCGAGCGAAAGCGCAAGAGGGCAAACCCAGUGCUUGCACUGGGGGUUGUAGGACUGCAAUGUGCAAGAGCUGAGUUUAGCAGAACAUUCUGGAAAGUAUAGCCAUAGAGGGUGAUAGUCCCGUAUGCGAAAAACAAAGCUUAGCUAGCAGUAUCCUGAGUAGGGCGGGACACGAGGAAUCCUGUCUGAAUCCGGGUCGACCACGAUCCAACCCUAAAUACUAAUACCAGAUCGAUAGUGCACAAGUACCGUGAGGGAAAGGUGAAAAGAACUGAGGUGAUCAGAGUGAAAUAGAACCUGAAACCAUUUGCUUACAAUCAUUCAGAGCCCUAUGUAGCAAUACAGGGUGAUGGACUGCCUUUUGCAUAAUGAGCCUGCGAGUUGUGGUGUCUGGCAAGGUUAAGCAAACGCGAAGCCGUAGCGAAAGCGAGUCUGAAUAGGGCGCUUAGUCAGAUGCUGCAGACCCGAAACGAAGUGAUCUAUCCAUGAGCAAGUUGAAGCUAGUGUAAGAACUAGUGGAGGACUGAACCCAUAGGCGUUGAAAAGCCCCGGGAUGACUUGUGGAUAGGGGUGAAAGGCCAAUCAAACUUCGUGAUAGCUGGUUCUCUCCGAAAUAUAUUUAGGUAUAGCGUUGUGUCGUAAUAUAAGGGGGUAGAGCACUGAAUGGGCUAGGGCAUACACCAAUGUACCAAACCCUAUCAAACUCCGAAUACCUUAUAUGUAAUCACAGCAGUCAGGCGGCGAGUGAUAAAAUCCGUCGUCAAGAGGGAAACAACCCAGACUACCAGCUAAGGUCCCUAAAUCUUACUUAAGUGGAAAACGAUGUGAAGUUACUUAAACAACCAGGAGGUUGGCUUAGAAGCAGCCAUCCUUUAAAGAAAGCGUAAUAGCUCACUGGUCUAGUGAUUUUGCGCGGAAAAUAUAACG
rnacentral:rRNA from 1 species